GACGAACGCUGGCGGCGUGCCUAAUACAUGCAAGUAGAACGCACAGUUUAUACCGUAGCUUGCUACACCAUAGACUGUGAGUUGCGAACGGGUGAGUAACGCGUAGGUAACCUGCCUGGUAGCGGGGGAUAACUAUUGGAAACGAUAGCUAAUACCGCAUAAUAUUGAUUAUUGCAUGAUAAUUAAUUGAAAGGUGCAAUUGCACCACUACCAGAUGGACCUGCGUUGUAUUAGCUAGUAGGUGAGGUAACGGCUCACCUAGGCGACGAUACAUAGCCGACCUGAGAGGGUGAUCGGCCACACUGGGACUGAGACACGGCCCAGACUUCUACGGGAGGCAGCAGUAGGGAAUCUUCGGCAAUGGACGAAAGUCUGACCGAGCAACGCCGCGUGAGUGAAGAAGGUUUUCGGAUCGUAAAGCUCUGUUGUAAGAGAAGAACGGGUGUGAGAGUGGAAAGUUCACACUGUGACGGUAUCUUACCAGAAAGGGACGGCUAACUACGUG
rnacentral:rRNA from 1 species